GCCGAUGUAGCUCAGUUGGUAGAGCAACUCCAUGGUAAGGAGUAGGUCGCCGGUUCGAGUCCGGCCAUCGGCU
rnacentral:tRNA from 1 species